CCUACGGGAGGCAGCAGUGGGGAAUAUUGCACAAUGGGGGAAACCCUGAUGCAGCGACGCCGCGUGAGUGAUGAAGUAUUUCGGUAUGUAAAGCUCUAUCAGCAGGGAAGAUAAUGACGGUACCUGACUAAGAAGCUCCGGCUAAAUACGUGCCAGCAGCCGCGGUAAUACGUAUGGAGCAAGCGUUAUCCGGAUUUACUGGGUGUAAAGGGAGCGCAGACGGCAGGGCAAGUCUGAUGUGAAAGUCCGGGGCUCAACCCCGGGACUGCAUUGGAAACUGUCCGGCUAGAGUGCAGGAGAGGUAAGUGGAAUUCCUAGUGUAGCGGUGAAAUGCGUAGAUAUUAGGAGGAACACCAGUGGCGAAGGCGGCUUACUGGACUGUAACUGACGUUGAGGCUCGAAAGCGUGGGGAGCAAACAGGAUUAGAUACCCCAGUAGUC
rnacentral:rRNA from 1 species